GACGAACGCUGGCGGCGCGCUUAACACAUGCAAGUCGAGCGAAGCGGCGGACGGGUGAGUAACACGUGAGUAACCUGCCUUAGACAUUGGGAUAGCCUCGGGAAACCGGGAUUAAUACCAAAGUCUAAGAUGGACUCGCGUCCCAUUAGCUAGUUGGUGGGGUGAUGGCCUACCAAGGCGGUGACGGGUAGCCGGCCUGGGAGGGUGACCUGCCAAAUUGGGACUGGGGAACGGCCCCGACUGCUACGGGAGGGAGCAGUGGGGGAUAUUGCCCAAUGGGGGAAAGCCUGAUGCAGCGACGCCGCGUGGGGGAUGAAGGCUUUUGGGUUGUAAACCUCUUUCGCUAUCGAACGGGUAGGUGGAGAAGAAGCGCCGGCUAACUACGUGCCAGCCGCCGCGGUAAUAC
rnacentral:rRNA from 1 species